UUCUCUCUUCUCCCCGAACUGUCGCUCUUUCUCCCUCUCGCCUGCAACUCCGGCCUUCUUCCUCCUCCGGCCACCUGACGACGAAAAGCAAGUAUCUUUGGACUCGUCUCCGCUCCCUCUAGGUGCCUGUGGUGGUGUUUUGCGGUGGCUCGGCCCAAUGAGCUCGGAUUUGAGCUGUGAAGUUCACUGUAGCAAUCCGGAAGUUUCGUCGAUUUCCGGCGAUUCCGGCCAUCUCCGGCCACCAAACCGGGGUCGAAGGAGCGGUUUUUCCCAAGGAUCAUGUUGCCCCUAGCCUUGAGCCACGAUUUGCAGUGUGGAGGUCGAAUCGAAGGUUUGAAAUUCCGAGUUACUAUUCACAAUUCGGGUUCAAACUUCUCUUUAAUUGUUGAGGAUGUCGUACCGAGCCCUGGCUCGAUGAAGGAACUCGUAUACGUGAUCGUCGGAAUAGUACUUGUGCAGGAGAAAUUAGUUGAGGUCGGGCGUACAUGGAGUCGAGGCAUAGUCAACAGUAUGGCUUCCGCGAUUGCCUUGAAUUAGGUUUUCCUCAUUUACCUUUCUAUUAGAAUUGCUCUGAUUACCUGCGGAAUUAAGGUUAUUAAGUUGAGAUUUGUGUGUUGUGAAUUUGGUUGAUGUUGUUUGGGGGAGCAGGGUGGCUCCAGGAGAAUAAGGAUGGGUGAUUUAGAAGUAUAAAUUCUCUUUCUACAGGUUUUGGGUUGUCCACUUUAGGGGAAGUUCUGCCUAAUUUUUGGCAAAAUUUCUUCUAAGGUGGGCCCCGCAGGUCCACUUCGGAUUUCAGGGUGAAAUUCGGGGCGGGUCCUGUCAGUUGGUAUCAGAGCCUUAGGUUGUCAGAUUCUGUAGACUCAUUUCUAUCUUGUUACCUUAUACGCUUAAUGUUACACAGUACCUCCCGAGUGAUGGCCCGACUGCAGCGGUUCCCCAUCGUUUACUCUUCGAUGCUGAUGUACUCAUUAAGUGUGUAAGGUACAUGUUUAGAUGGUGUUCCUUUAGGUGUUAUGCCUCUUGUACGCCGACCUCCUAGGGUUUUCGUUGCGUAGCGGAUUAUUCGCAUGUUUUGCACAUUUCCCUGCUGAUGGUAGAGUAAGUCUACUCUACAAUUUCGAGUUGUGCUACGAUGUGUAAUUCGAGGAAAUGUUGUGGUUGUUUCUCCCUCGAUGAUAAUAAGUUUGUUGGGCAAGAUUUAAGGUGCGUGAACGGAGUUCGAUUAUGUGUUUGAGUGACCGUGAUGAGCGACGAUAGCUUUGGGUCGUCUU